AGGGCUGUACCUCAGUGGUAGAGAAUCUGCCUUGCAUGCAGAAGCUCCCAAAUUCAAUCCCCAGCAACUCCA
rnacentral:tRNA from 1 species